AAUGUAGGUUUUUUUCUAAUCCCUCACCGCCAUUUGAGCAGCGCGCACAGAGUAAGAAAACCUUAAUCUCGCUUUAACCACUGACUGCGUAAAAGAGACUUCAUUGGAGGGGUCUACCUGAGAUCAGAGCCUCAGAGCUAUCAUUUCUUACUCCAAAUCUCAGCUUCUCAUGAAUGUUCUCCUGGAAACUGCUGCGUGCUCACAUAAUUCAUCUUGUGGAUUGAGGCCAUAAGUAUUAACAAAUUAGCUGCAAUCAAAUUUGGCACUUUAAAAUUCCAUCUAUCCUCUUCAGGGCUUGCUGAGUCAGAGCUCAUCAAGUGAUAAAGUUCAAGUGAUAUGGAAACUAAUACCUGUGUCAAGGGUUUUCAUCAGGCUUGGGCUGCUGCAGGACAGAAUGUCUUCUCACUGCAUUGCUUCCUUGAAAACUGCAGCUUUAAGAUAAAGUUGGAAUAUUGUACUAGAUUUGUUGUAUUUACGCCUCAUCUGUAGAAGCACACUUGGGCUGUGGAGCUGAAAGCUGGCAAGACUUGGACCUAUGUGACUAGAACAGCAUAAAAGAUGUGAGGAAGACUUGGCUCCUGUCUGCAACAGCUGCAUGUGCUCUGAGUGGGAAAGCAGGAGAGAGGACCUAUGUACUUGAGUAGCUGCUGGGCCCCCAUGAGAUGAUGCCGCAUUUGUUAAAGCAUCUGCCUGUGUCCUUCUAUAAAGCUAAGGAAAUGUAUCUUUAAAGCUUAUUUGUGCUUUGUGUUUCUAAUCGCCAAUUUGGACAUCCACCUAUGACUGUGUUGCUACGAUAUCAUACCAGACUUUUCUUCCUAGUUUAAUCACCCUUCCACUCUGCUCUCCGAUCCUACAGAUGUGGGGAAUACCAAUCUAUAACACAAAAUGGAGUGUGACUCAAUGAAUAUUUAUCAAGUGCCUGCUAUUUGGGAGAAGGAAUGGGGUUUUCAGCAGAAUCUCUGG